rnacentral:rRNA from 1 species
GAUGAACGCUGGCGGCGUGCCUAAUACAUGCAAGUCGAGCGAAUGGAUUAAGAGCUUGCUCUUAUGAAGUUAGCGGCGGACGGGUGAGUAACACGUGGGUAACCUGCCCAUAAGACUGGGAUAACUCCGGGAAACUGGGGCUAAUACCGGAUAACAUUUUGAACCGCAUGGGUCGAACUUGAAAUGCAGCUUCGGCUGCCACUUAUGUAUGGACCCUCGUAGCAUUAGCUAGUUGGCGAGGUAACGGCUCACCAAGGCAACGAUGCGUAGCCGACCUGAGAGGGUGAUCGGCCACACUGGGACUGAGACACGGCCCAGACUCCUACGGGAGGCAGCAGUAGGGAAUCUUCCGCAAUGGACGAAAGUCUGACGGAGCAACGCCGCGUGAGUGAUGAAGGCUUUCGGGUCGUAAAACUCUGUUGUUAGGGAAGAACAAGUGCUAGUUGAAUAAGCUGGCACCUUGACGGUACCUAACCAGAAAGCCACGGCUAACUACGUGCCAGCCGCCGCCGUAA